rnacentral:lncRNA from 1 species
AUCAGAUCCGUGCACGUGGCUGCUCUUGGCCUCUCCUUCCCUUCCUCCCACACCAAAAGUCCUACAGGAAAUCUUGGCAGAGCCUUCCCACAGCUCCUGGGCAGGAAAAUCCCUUUUUCCUGUGCGGCUGGGUGGGGGAUUUGGAGGGGAACACAGCAGUGAUGCUGGAGCAGAUCUGCAGGGAAGCUGUGGGGCAAGGGCACAUUAAUUACAUCAGAGGGAAACCCAGAGCUGGAGCUUUGAAAAUGAGAUCAGGAGGAUUACUGGGAAAAUAAUCAGCAGGAAGCAAUCUUACCUUGGAAAUAAAAAAGAGCAGGAGAACACAGUUACAGAGAGGAUUAGAUUAAAAAUGCUGCAGAGAGAUUUGGGUGAGCGAACACGUGGCAACAUCUUCCUGUGGGAACAACACAAGGAGCAGAUUGGCCAGGUGAUCAGCCUGGGUGUUGGGAAAAUAUGAAAUCCAGAUCUUUGGAGCAUGCAGAGCAACAGGAGCGCCACCAGCAGCAACGCCUGUCGAUGAAAGCUGCUAAGCUGGAAUUGUUAGAAAAUGCAGGUCUGCAAGAGAGUGGCAGUCACUGGAGUGGGCCAGGCUUUUAUCCCAGCACCAUGGACUUGUGAUGGAAAUGCCAAAACCUCAGUGAAGAUGGACCCUGGGCACAGCUGAAGUUUCACAUUGUUCUUCUCUAGGCAAGACUGUCCUUGUGAUGCUUCUGUUCUCAGACUAAACAGUAAUGAUCCCUGCUUUGUAUCUGUCCAAAAUUCCUCCUAAAUUCAUUAUUGGGAGCCCACUAUGAUAAACAAGUAGGAAAAGAGUCUCACUGCAAUUCUUCUUUCUGCUGGGUCUUCACUUUCUGCCAUCACAAAAAGCAGCACAGAGCUCCAUUUGGAAUUUCUAGCCUGGGUUU